rnacentral:rRNA from 1 species
GGGUCAGUAGGUUGGUCGUGCCACCGGUACGUACUGGUCUCACUGAUUCCUCCUUCCUGAAGAACCGUAAUGCCAUUAAUUUGGUGUUGCGGGGAAACAGGACUGUUACUUUGGAAAAAUUAGAGUGUUUAAAGCAAGCUAACGCUUGAAUACAUCAGCAUGGAAUAAUGAAAUAGGACGAUCGAUCCUAUUUUGUUGGUUUCUAGGAUUGACGUA